UCUUUGCUAGUAUAUCGGUUAGUACACGCGCCUGUCAUUCACUGACGCUCGCGCGAAAGCUGGGUUCGACUCCCAGGCGAAGAG